rnacentral:misc_RNA from 1 species
GGACAUUGUGCAGCAGAAUUUGAUUACCGAGGAUUCGUACGCACAAAAACUUAGAGGACCUUGCGCGAGUGUUACUUCUAGACUGAGUUUCCUGAACGAGUUUUUGCCGGAGGAUCGCGACCCUGUUUAUGCUUGGCCGGUGAUAUUUUUUGUUUCCAUUCUCGCAUUCACAGUAAUCUGUGCAAAAAACAGACAAGAGAGCUUUAGCC